GACGAACGCUGGCGGCGUGCCUAAUACAUGCAAGUUGAGCGCUGAAGGUUGGUACUUGUACCGACUGGAUGAGCAGCGAACGGGUGAGUAACGCGUGGGGAAUCUGCCUUUGAGCGGGGGACAACAUUUGGAAACGAAUGCUAAUACCGCAUAAAAACUUUAAACACAAGUUUUAAGUUUGAAAGAUGCAAUUGCAUCACUCAAAGAUGAUCCCGCGUUGUAUUAGCUAGUUGGUGAGGUAAAGGCUCACCAAGGCGAUGAUACAUAGCCGACCUGAGAGGGUGAUCGGCCACAUUGGGACUGAGACACGGCCCAAACUCCUACGGGAGGCAGCAGUAGGGAAUCUUCGGCAAUGGACGAAAAUCUGACCGAGCAACGCCGCGGGAGUGAAGAAGGGUUUCGGAUCGUAAAACUCUGUUGGUAGAGAAGAACGUUGGUGAGAGUGGAAAGCUCAUCAAGUGACGGUAACUACCCAGAAAGGGACGGCUAACUACGUG
rnacentral:rRNA from 1 species